rnacentral:tRNA from 1 species
GCGGGUAGAGCUCAGUUGCAGAGUGCAUGCUUAGAAUGCACGAGGUCCUGGGUUCAAUCCCCAGUACCUCCA